rnacentral:rRNA from 1 species
AGUGAACGCUGGCGGUAGGCCUAACACAUGCAAGUCGAACGGCAGCACAGUAAGAGCUUGCUCUUACGGGUGGCGAGUGGCGGACGGGUGAGGAAUACAUCGGAAUCUACUUUUUCGUGGGGGAUAACGUAGGGAAACUUACGCUAAUACCGCAUACGACCUACGGGUGAAAGCAGGGGAUCUUCGGACCUUGCGCGAUUGAAUGAGCCGAUGUCGGAUUAGCUAGUUGGCGGGGUAAAGGCCCACCAAGGCGACGAUCCGUAGCUGGUCUGAGAGGAUGAUCAGCCACACUGGAACUGAGACACGGUCCAGACUCCUACGGGAGGCAGCAGUGGGGAAUAUUGGACAAGGGGCGCAAGCCUGAUCCAGCCAUACCGCGUGGGUGAAGAAGGCCUUCGGGUUGUAAAGCCCUUUUGUUGGGAAAGAAAAGCAGCAGGUUAAGACCCCGCUGUUCUGACGGUACCCAAAGAAUAAGCACCGGCUAACUUCGU